UCCUCUCUCCAACUCUGUUGCGGACACGUUUUAAAGACAGAGAGAAAAGAGAGAAGCGAGAAUUCAAAAGCCAAGGAAAAUGGGAAGUGAUUUCUUUACCGAAUCUCAAACGUGGGUUUCUUCUGUUAACGGAAUUCGAGAAGACCCAGAUGAUGAAACUUCCAUUGACGGAGGUGAGGGAAUUGGGACGGAUUCGGAUUUCGAUGAGUCGGCUCAAAUGGGGGUGAAGAAGAGGAUGAUGAAGAAGAGGAGUCAGGUUUUGCUUGAAGGGUUUGUUGAGGAUGAGGAUGAUUUGAUGAGGACUAAGAGCUUGACGGAUGAGGAUCUUGAUGAGCUUAAAGGCUGUGUAGAUCUAGGCUUUGGUUUUAGCUAUGAUGAGAUUCCGGAGCUCUGUAACACUCUCCCGGCUUUGGAGCUCUGUUAUUCCAUGAGCCAGAAGUACAUGGACGAUCACCAGAAGUCGCCGGAGAGUUCGCCGGCUUCGGCGGUUCCGGCCGACUCUUGCUCUUCUGUUUCCAGUCCGAUUGCGAAUUGGAAGAUCUCCAGUCCUGGUGAUCAUCCAGAAGAUGUUAAAGCGAGGCUCAAAUUUUGGGCUCAGGCAGUGGCAUGUACUGUUAGACUAUGCAACUAAGAAGACCAUGGAAUGGAAGUUUUGAUUUGGGAUGAGAAAAUGAAUGCAUCUUUUUGCACUAGUAACCUAGCCUUAUGGUUUGACGACGUUGCAAAGGUUCCAAGAAAAGAUAGAUUGAAUGAUUGAAUGAACAAACGGGUCGUUUGAUGAGUCUGACUUAUGAAGAAGAAGAAGAAGAAGAAUGUGUCAGUGGUUUUGACUUUGAGAGCUUAGCUUCCAUAACCACACCCAACACCCAAGUCUCUUUCACUGACCUUUUUGCAUAUGGCUGAGGUUUUUCCAAAGGAAAGCACAGGGCAGAAAGUUCAUUCUUUGUUGUUUCAAUGUCUAAGUAGAGAAAUUUUUGGUUUCUUAUUUUGGGUUGUUGGUGGGUAAUGUCCUCUAGUUUCUGCCAUUCAACAACUUGAAAUUAGAGGCCGGGGAACUUAACAGUCUUGAUUUCGUCUCUACUUCUGAUUUUCUAAUCUACCUGAGGGCCUUGAUGCCAAAGGAAAAGGAAAUCUUUGGUUUAUGUUGUAUUUGUAGAAAGGUUGUUGCCUUAUGAUGUCCUUGUAGUUUAGUUCUUGAGUUCAGGCCAUGGUUUUGCCAAAGAGAAGAGAAGAUUGGGAGAAUUUAACUUUACUUUUUUGUUUGUCUCAAAAGCGUUUGACAACCAACAUGUAAUUGAGAUGGAUGAUUAAAUUAAUAAAACGAUUGAAAGAUCUAUCACAUCCUUAUUGGUA